rnacentral:lncRNA from 1 species
AGCACACGUGAAUGACCUAAAGAUCUUAUACGAAUGCAGAUUUUGAUUCUGGAGGUCUUGGAUGGGCCCGACAGUCUGCAUUUCUAAUAAGCUCCCAGAAAAAUAUCCAACCCGAGCAGGAUAAAACUGAUCAUCCUGAGGAUAUUGCCCUUGGAGUUAAUUUUUUGAGAGAAAUAAAACAAUAAACAUCAUAAGACACAAACCCCAAGCAACUGAUCUCACUGUUAAAAUCCAACCUGAGAACAAUGGAAUGGAUAAUGGUCAUUUCAACUGUCUUUGAGUCUGGAGGUUGCUUUUAACAAACUGAAUUGUAUUGCUGCUGGGCUAGUUAACAUUCAUAUUAGACUUUCAAAACAGUGUGGAGAAAACAGUCAGCUCUUUGAUGGCAUUUAUGAUGGACACACAGCUGGGCUAAUGAAGACAAUAUGUCAAGGCUUGAAGAGCAAUGAUUUUACAGAUUUUUGAGACAUCUAUUUGGGUUUAUAGAGCUGAUUUCCUCUUUGGAGGCUGCAUUCUGAAUUAAUGAUAACCACCUUUAUAGAGAAAACAUUGAAUAUGAAGUGUCCAAGGAAUUUAGGCUAAAGAAGUAAUUCUAGGACUAGUCAGACAAAGAGAAAUACUGUCUGAAAUGACUGAAU